rnacentral:rRNA from 1 species
UACGUAGGGGGCAAGCGUUGUCCGGAUUUAUUGGGCGUAAAGAGCUCGUAGGCGGUUUGGUAAGUCUGGGUGUGAAAUCUCCACGCUCAACGUGGAGGGGCCACCCGAUACUGCCAUGACUGGAGUCCGGUAGAGGAGUGUGGAAUUCCCGGUGUAGCGGUGAAAUGCGCAGAUAUCGGGAGGAACACCCGUAGCGAAGGCGGCACUCUGGGCCGGUACUGACGCUGAGACGCGAAAGCGUGGGGAGCGAACAGG